GACGAACGCUGGCGGCGUGCUUAACACAUGCAAGUCGAACGGUGAAGCGCCUUCCUUUUUGGUGGGUGUGGAUGAGUGGCGAACGGGUGAGUAACACGUGAGUAACCUGCCCCCUUCUUCUGGAUAACCGCAUGAAAGUGUGGCUAAUACGGGAUAUUCUGGGUCUGUCGCAUGAUGGGUCUGGGAAAGAUAUUGUUUCGGUGGGGGAUGGGCUCGCGGCCUAUCAGCUUGUUGGUGGGGUUAUGGCCUACCAAGGCGGUGACGGGUAGCCGGCCUGAGAGGGUGGACGGUCACACUGGGACUGAGACACGGCCCAGACUCCUACGGGAGGCAGCAGUGGGGAAUAUUGCACAAUGGGCGCAAGCCUGAUGCAGCGACGCCGCGUGAGGGAUGGAGGCCUUCGGGUUGUGAACCUCUUUCGCCAGUGAAGCAGGCCUGCCUCGUUUGUGGGUGGGUUGACGGUAGCUGGAUAAGAAGCGCCGGCUAACUACGUG
rnacentral:rRNA from 1 species